GUGGGGGUGAGAGAGAAUAGGGAGGGGUGUCAGGUGCUGGGAGGGGAUGUGCUUUAAUUGAAAGUUUACCUUGGAGUGUGCCCUGCUGGAGGGUCUGCAGAAUCAAUAGGCAGCCACCACAGGACUGGGUCAACACUCCAAAAGGAGCCUUGGAGUCCAGUGUCUGGAAGGCCAUCACACUGCUCACCUAUAACCCAUCACACCUCUGACAGUCCUCAGACCUGGAAAAAGACGAGGGCACUCAAGGUCAGGAUUGUGUUUCACUUUGGGGUCAAGUUCACGUUCAAGGUCAAGUUCAGGCCAGAGUUUAAGACAGAAGUCAAAACUUGAGUUCAAAGUCAAGUUCAGGCUUAGUUUAAGGCCAAGUUAAACAUCAAGCUUAGGCUCCAAUUCCAGGUCAAAAGUCAAGGUGAAUCUCAGUGUCAAGUCCAUGGUCAAGUUCAAGGGGAAGGUAAAGUUCAAACUCAGAUUUGAAUUAAGAUUAGGGUCAGUUUUGGGAUUCAAGUUUGGAUUCUGCUAUCUAGAGUCCUCAGGAUCCUGCAGCUCCCUGAGGCCUAUUUGAGGAGGGUUGGGUGGAUAUAAAAUAGGAAUUUGGGGAUACAGAAAAAGAAAGAUAUGCUGAAUCUCAAUAGAAAAGCACCCAUUACCUUGGAAAUGCAGGAGAUGCCCAUGAGCCUUUAGAAUGCAAAACAAGCGACUCCUGCAGCCCAGACCAGGGCCUUAGCCCUUGUCCUUGCCUGCCAAAAAGUAAUUCUCGUCCAAUCCCCAAUUGCUGCUAACCCCAAUCCAAGGGGUUGCUGUCUUUCUCUGGAGAUGUCCUGAACUCCCUCUCAAAUGUGUAUUCCUUGCUUUACCCCAAAGCUUUCCCCUCUCAAGACGGCCUGUAUUCUCCCUUGAAUGUGCAUCUGCUUCCCUAAAUAAAUCUCUGUGUCUCUGACUAGUGUCGGCUAAAAUUCUUUCCCAUCAGGUACACCAAGGACCCC
rnacentral:lncRNA from 1 species